rnacentral:rRNA from 1 species
GCUGCCCUCUUCACGAGGGUCAGUGUGUUCCGAGGUCUCUUUUCAGCGCCGACCAUCCUUUCCGGAAAGGCGCGUCUACCCUUUAUUGGGCCGGGCGCGUACUUAAACUUUCUGGAUCAUUUACUUUGAAAAAAUUAGAGUGUUUCAAGCAGGCUUUAUGCUAUGAAUACAUUAGCAUGGAAUAAUAAUUUAGGACUUCGGUUCUAUUUUGUUGGUUUCUAGGACUGAAGUAAUGAUUGAUAGGGAUAGUUGGGGGUGCUAGUAUUCAGCGGCCAGAGGUGAAAUUCUCGGAUUCGCUGAAGACUAACUUAUGCGAAAGCAUU